GACGAACGCUGGCGGCGUGCCUAAUACAUGCAAGUUGAGCGCUGAAGGUUGGUGCUUGUACCUCCUGGAUGAGCAGCGAACGGGUGAGUAACGCGUGGGUAAUCUGCCUUUGAGCGUGGGAUAACUUUUGGAAACGAAUGCUAAUACCGCAUAAUAUCUUUAACCACAUGUUUUAAUUUUGAAAGAUGCUUUUGCUUUACUCAAUGAUGAUCUCGCGUUGUAUUUGGUAGUUGGUGAGGUAAAGGCUCACCAAGGCGAUGAUACAUAGCCGACCUGAGAGGGUGAUCGGCAAAAAUGGGAAUGAGAAAAGGGCCAAAAUCCUAAGGGAAGCAGGAGUAGGGAAACCUCCGCAAUGGAGCAAAGGCUGAACGAACAACGGCGCGGGAGGGAAGAAGGUUUUCGGAUCGUAAAACUCUGGUGGUAGAGAAGAACGAAAGUGAGAGUGAAAAACGCAUGAAGUGACGGUAACUAACCAGAAAGGGACGGCUAACUACGUG
rnacentral:rRNA from 1 species